rnacentral:tRNA from 1 species
UCCCUGGUAGUCUAGUGGUUAGGAUUCAGCACUUUCAUUGCUGUGCCCUGGGUUCAAUUCCUGGUCUGGGGA